rnacentral:rRNA from 1 species
CAGUCGCCACGGUAAUACAGAGGGUGCAAGCGUUAAUCGGAAUUACUGGGCGUAAAGCGCGCGUAGGUGGUUUGUUAAGUUGGAUGUGAAAUCCCCGGGCUCAACCUGGGAACUGCAUCCAAAACUGGCAAGCUAGAGUAUGGUAGAGGGUGGUGGAAUUUCCUGUGUAGCGGUGAAAUGCGUAGAUAUAGGAAGGAACACCAGUGGCGAAGGCGACCACCUGGACUGAUACUGACACUGAGGUGCGAAAGCGUGGGGAGCAAACAGGAUUAGAUACCCGCGUAGUCCCUGUCUCUUAUAC